rnacentral:rRNA from 1 species
AUUGAACGCUGGCGGAAUGCUUUACACAUGCAAGUCGAGCGGCAGCGCGGCCUUCGGGCUGGCGGCGAGCGGCGAACGGGUGAGUAAUGCAUCGGAACAUGCCCAGUCGUGGGGGAUAACACUUCGAAAGAAGUGCUAAUACCACAUACGUCCUGAGGGGGAAAGCGGGGGAUCGCAAGACCUCGCGCGAUUGGAGUGGCCGAUGUCAGAUUAGCUAGUUGGUGGGGUAAAGGCCUACCAAGGCGACGAUCUGUAGCUGGUCUGAGAGGAUGAUCAGCCACACUGGGACUGAGACACGGCCCAGACUCCUACGGGAGGCAGCAGUGGGGAAUUUUGGACAAUGGGGGCAACCCUGAUCCAGCCAUUCCGCGUGAGUGAAGAAGGCCUUCGGGUUGUAAAGCUCUUUCGGCAGGAACGAAACGGUGGGCUCUAACAUAGUCCGCUAAUGACGGUACCUGAAGAAGAAGCACCGGCUAACUACGUG